ACGCUUGCCUUUGGCAACACAUAUGCUAAAAUUGGAAUGAUACAGAGAAGAUUACCAAUAGGCCUCAUGCAUGGAUGACAUGCAAAUUCAUGUAGUGUUCUAUAUUUAA
ensembl:snRNA Gm22577 U6 spliceosomal RNA